GUACCCUUAGCUCAGUUGGUUAGAGCAGACGGCUCAUAACCGUCCGGUCGUAGGUUCGAAUCCUACAGGGUACA
rnacentral:tRNA from 3 species